rnacentral:rRNA from 1 species
UAACGCGAAGAACCUUACCUGGGUUUGACAUCGCCGGAAAACUCGUAGAGAUACGGGGUCCUUCGGGGCCGGUGACAGGUGGUGCAUGGCUGUCGUCAGCUCGUGUCGUGAGAUGUUGGGUUAAGUCCCGCAACGAGCGCAACCCUCGUUCGAUGUUGCCGGCGCGUUAUGGCGGGGACUCAUCGAAGACUGCCGGGGUCAACUCGGAGGAAGGUGGGGAUGACGUCAAGUCAUCAUGCCCCUUAUGUCCAGGGCUUCACGCAUGCUACAAUGGCCGGUACAAAGGGCUGCGAUGCCGUAAGGUGGAGCGAAUCCCAAAAAGCCGGUCUCAGUUCGGAUCGGGGUCUGCAACUCGACCCCGUGAAGUCGGAGUCGCUAGUAAUCGCAGAUCAGCAGCGCUGCGGUGAAUACGUUCCCGGGUCUUGUACACACCGA